rnacentral:tRNA from 1 species
AGCCCCGUGGUGUAGUGGUCAAUCAUAGGGGACUCUGGAUCCCUUGACAUCGGUUCGAAUCCGGUCGGGGCUA